GGCUCCAUGGUCAAGUGGUUAAGACACCGCCCUUUCACGGCGGUAACAGGGGUUCAAAUCCCCUUGGAGUCA
rfam:Blautia sp. An249 An249_contig_7, whole genome shotgun sequence.